GCCAGACUCCUACGGGAGGCAGCGGUGGGGAAUAUUGCACAAUGGGGGAAACCCUGAUGCAGCGACGCCGCGUGAGCGAGGAAGUAUUUCGGUAUGUAAAGCUCUGUCAGCAGGGAAGAAGAAUGACGGUACCUGAAGAAGAAGCACCGGCUAAAUACGUGCCAGCAGCCGCGGUAAUACGUAUGGUGCAAGCGUUAUCCGGAUUUACUGGGUGUAAAGGGAGCGCAGGCGGUUCUGCAAGUCUGAUGUGAAAGCCCGGGGCUCAACCGCGGGACUGCAUUGGAAACUGCAGGACUGGAGUGUCGGAGGGGUAAGCGGAAUUCCUGGUGUAGCGGUGAAAUGCGUAGAUAUCAGGAGGAACACCGGUGGCGAAGGCGGCUUACUGGACGAUGACUGACGCUGAGGCUCGAAAGCGUGGGGAGCAAACAGGAUUAGAUACCCGGGUAA
rnacentral:rRNA from 1 species